rnacentral:rRNA from 1 species
CAAUAGCGGAUAUUUAAGUUGUUGCAGUUAAAAAGCUCGUAGUUGGAUUUCGGGUGGGACGCAGCGGUCUCGCAUUGCGUUUGUACUGCUGCAGCCCUCCUUCUUGCCGGGGGCGGCCUCUCGGACUUCACUGUCUGGGGGUCAGAAUCGGCGAUGUUACUUUGAGUAAAUUAGAGUGUUCAAAGCAAGCUUACGCUCUGAAUAUAAUAGCAUGGGAUAACACGACAGGACUCUGGCCUAUCGUGUUGGUCUAUAGGACCAGAGUAAUGAUUAAGAGGGACAGUCGGGGGCAUUCGUAUUCCGUUGUCAGAGGUGAAAUUCUUGGAUUUACGGAAGACGAACAUCUGCGAAAGCAUUUGCCAAGGAUGUUUNCAUUGA